GACGAACGCUGGCGGCGUGCCUAAUACAUGCAAGUAGAACGCUGAAGGAGGAGCUUGCUUCUCUGGAUGAGUUGCGAACGGGUGAGUAACGCGUAGGUAACCUGCCUGGUAGCGGGGGAUAACUAUUGGAAACGAUAGCUAAUACCGCAUAACAGUAGAUAUCGCGUGAUAUCUACUUGAAAGGUGCAAUUGCAUCACUACCAGAUGGACCUGCGUUGUAUUAGCUAGUUGGUGAGGUAACGGCUCACCAAGGCGACGAUACAUAGCCGACCUGAGAGGGUGAUCGGCCACACUGGGACUGAGACACGGCCCAGACUCCUACGGGAGGCAGCAGUAGGGAAUCUUCGGCAAUGGACGGAAGUCUGACCGAGCAACGCCGCGUGAGUGAAGAAGGUUUUCGGAUCGUAAAGCUCUGUUGUAAGAGAAGAACGAGUGUGAGAGUGGAAAGUUCACACUGUGACGGUAUCUUACCAGAAAGGGACGGCUAACUACGUG
rnacentral:rRNA from 1 species